UAACGAUCAGGCGUUGCCGUGAGCUGUAGUGUAGGUUGCAGAUGCGGCUCGGAUCCCGCGUUGCUGUGGCUCUGGCGUAGGCCGGUGGCUACAGCUCCGAUUCAACCCCUAGCCUGGGAACCUCCAUAUGCCGUGGGAGCGGCCCAAGAAAUAGCAACAACAACAACAACAACAACAACGGAAAAAAAAAAAAAAAAAAGAUAUCAAUUGAGAGGCUGUCUAGCUCAGCAAGAGAGAAGGCCUUUUAUUGUUAAGAAUCCCUUAUACCAGAAGUUCCCUUGUGCCACAGCUGGUUAAGGAUCCAGUGUUGUCACUGCUAGGGCUCAAAAAAUCCUUACACCAAAAGAGCUAGGUAACCAGAAUAACAGAACCCAUAGCUCAUGGCCAUAGCUAAUUAUUCAUAACUAGCAACAUUUUCAGAGAUACUUCGGCUCGACUUUAGACUAGUUCUUUGCAUCAAUCUCAAAGGUACCAAAUCUCAAAAUUACCAGUUAAAAUAGGAACUCAGGUACAAGGAAUAAAAUAGGGAUGAAACAGGACACAAGUCAGGCUGCUAUCCUUGCAGAAAGAGACGGAAACCUGAAACUGGAGUGAAUUUUAACCCAAAUGUUAAAACGCUAAGCCCCGGAACUAUCACUGCAGAAUCCCUUCUUGUCUGUGAUCACAGGAAAAGGUGAGACUAGGCUUGUAGCUGGAACCCAGGUAAACUGUGCAGAGAGGAUGCAGAGCCUAGACAACAGGCAACUGUCUUAUGGAAGUGUGAAUGUAGAAUUUUGGGGUAGUUUUGCAGUUAUUUUUUGUUUGUUUGUUUGUUUUGUUUUUUUUUUUUUGGUCUUUUUGCUAUUUCUUGGGCCGCUCCCGCGGCAUAUGGAAAUUCCCAGGCUAGGGGUCCAAUCGGAGCUGUAGCCACCGGCCUAUGCCAGAGCCACAGCAACGCGGGAUCUGAGCCGCGUCUGCAACCUACACCAGAGCUCACGGCAAUGCCGGAUCGUUAACCCGCUGAGCAAGGGCAGGGAUCGAACCUGAACCUCAUGGUUCCUAGUCGGAUUCGUUAACCACUGCGCCACAACGGGAACUCCAGUUUUGCAGUUUUAGGAGUUAAUUGUUUAUGUAGUGCAAGAACCUUAUCAAACUAUCAAGUUACUAGAUCAGUUCAAGCAGUACCCUUUAAAAAAAAAAAAAAACAAGCAGAGAAGCAAAAUUGAGCAUCCAUAUGUCAGUAAACUAUCUUAGUCUUUCCCAUUUGUGAUUAAAGGAAACAAUUAGAUGUACUGGGGAAAAAAAACAAACCAAAGUUUUAGGAACAGCUGUGGUGAUGCUGUGACAUUCAGCAAAUCAUU
rnacentral:lncRNA from 1 species